CGGAGGGUGCAAGCGUUAUCCGGAUUUACUGGGUUUAAAGGGUGUGUAGGCGGACUUUUAAGUCAGCGGUGAAAUCUCCGGGCUCAACCCGGAAACUGCCAUUGAUACUAUUGGUCUUGAAUGUUGUUGAGGUGGGCGGAACGGGUCAUGUAGCGGUGAAAUGCAUAGAUAUGACCCGGAACACCGAUUGCGAAGGCAGCCCACUAAGCAACGAUUGACGCUGAGGCACGAAAGCGUGGGGAUCAAACAGGAUUAGAUACCCUGGUAGUCCACGCCCUAAACGAUGAUUACUCGACGUUGGCGAUACACUGAUCAGCGUCCAAGCGAAAGCAUUAAGUAAUCCACCUGGGAAGUACGUUCGCAAGAAUG
rnacentral:rRNA from 1 species